GUCUACGGACCAAAGUGUGGGACCUUCGGGCCACAUGCUAUCGGAUGCGCCUACGUGGGAUUAGCUAGUUGGUGAGGUAAUGGCUCACCAAGGCGACGAUCCCUAGCUGGUUUGAGAGGAUGAUCAGCCACACUGGAACUGAGACACGGUCCAGACUCCUACGGGAGGCAGCAGUGGGGAAUAUUGGACAAUGGGCGCAAGCCUGAUCCAGCCAUGCCGCGUGUGUGAAGAAGGCCUUCGGGUUGUAAAGCACUUUCAGUUGGGAGGAAGCGUUGUGUGUUAAUAGUACACAGCGUUGACGUUACCAACAGAAGAAGCACCGGCUAACUCUGUGCCAGCAGCCGCGGUAAUACAGAGGGUGCAAGCGUUAAUCGGAAUUACUGGGCGUAAAGCGCACGUAGGCGGUUUUUUAAGUCAGAUGUGAAAGCCCCGGGCUCAACCUGGGAAUUGCAUUUGAAACUGGAAAACUAGAGUGUGUGAGAGGGGGGUAGAAUUCCAAGUGUAGCGGUGAAAUGCGUAGAGAUUUGGAGGAAUACCAGUGGCGAAGGCGGCCCCCUGGCNCUAAUAACUGACGCUGAGGUACGAAAGCAUGGGGAGCAAACAGGAUAUAGGUACCCUGGUAGUCCAUGCCGUAAACGAUGUCUACUAGCCGUUNGGGACCUUUGAGGCUUUAGUGGCGCAGCUAACGCGANUAAGUAGACCGCCUGGGGAGUACGGUCGCAAGACUAAAACUCAAAUGAAUUGACGGGGGCCCGCACAAGCGGUGGAGCAUGUGGUUUAAUUCGAUGCAACGCGAAGAACCUUACCUGGCNCUUGACANNUACUAGAANACUUUCCAGAGAUGNGAUUGGUGCCUUCGGGAANUCUAGAUACAGGUGCUGCAUGGCUGUCGUCAGCUCGUGUCGUGGGAUGUUGGGUUAAGUCCCGCAACGAGCGCAACCCUUUUCCUUACUUGCCAGCANNUNUUCGGAUGGGAACUCUAAGGAUACUGCCAGUGACAAACUGGAGGAAGGCGGGGACGACGUCAAGUCAUCAUGGCCCUUACGNGCCAGGGCUACACACGUGCUACAAUGGUCGGUACAAAGGGUUUGCUACCCAGCGANUGUGAAUGCUAAUCUCAAAAAAGCCCGAUCCGUAGUUCCGGAUUGGAGUCUGCAACUCGACUCCAUGAAGUCCGGAAUCGCUAGUAAAUCGCGGGAUCCAGAAUGCCCGCGGUGGAAUACGUUUCCCGGGCCUUGUACACACCGCCCGUCACACCAUGGGAGUGGGUUGCAAAAGAAGUAGGUAGCUUAACCUUCGGG
rnacentral:rRNA from 1 species